ACAAUGAAGAGUUUGAUCCUGGCUCAGGAUGAACGCUAGCGGCAGGCUUAACACAUGCAAGUCGAGGGGUAACAUUGUGCUUGCACAGAUGACGACCGGCGAACGGGUGCGUAACGCGUAUAGAAUCUGCCUUGUACAGGAGGAUAGCCUUUAGAAAUGAAGAUUAACACUCCAUAAUGUUAAUUUGAGUGGCAUCACUUAUUAAUUAAACAUUUAUGGGUACAAGAUGACUAUGCGUCCUAUUAGCUAGAUGGUGAGGUAACGGCUUACCAUGGCGACGAUAGGUAGGGGGUCUGAGAGGAUUAUCCCCCACACUCGGUACUGAGACACGGACCGAGACUCCUACGGGAGGCAGCAGUGAGGAAUAUUGGUCAAUGGAGGCAACUCUGAACCGACCAUGCCGCGUGCAGGAUGACUGCCCUAUGGGUUGUAAACUGCUUUUAUACAGGAAGAAACCGAUGCUACGUGUAGCAUCCUUGACGGUACUGUAAGAAUAAGGACCGGCUAACUCCGUGCCGACAGCCGCGGUAAUACGGAGGGUCCGAGCGUUAUCCGGAAUCAUUGGGUUUAAAGGGUCCGCAGGCGGUCAAUUAAGUCAGAGGUGAAAGCCCAUCGCUCAACGAUGGAACUGCCUUUGAUACUUGGUUGACUUGAGUUAUACGGAAGUAGAUAGAAUAAGUAGUGUAGCGGUGAAAUGCAUAGAUAUUACUUAGAAUACCGAUUGCGAAGGCAGUCUACUACGUAUAUACUGACGCUGAGGGACGAAAGCGUGGGGAGCGAACAGGAUUAGAUACCCUGGUAGUCCACGCCGUAAACGAUGGAUACUAGUUGUUGGACUUCGGUUCAGUGACUAAGCGAAAGUGAUAAGUAUCCCACCUGGGGAGUACGGUCGCAAGACUGAAACUCAAAGGAAUUGACGGGGGCCCGCACAAGCGGUGGAGCAUGUGGUUUAAUUCGAUGAUACGCGAGGAACCUUACCAGGGCUUAAAUGUAGAUUGACAGGGCUGAGAGAUAGCUUUUUCUUCGGACAAUUUACAAGGUGCUGCAUGGUUGUCGUCAGCUCGUGCCGUGAGGUGUCAGGUUAAGUCCUAUAACGAGCGCAACCCCUAUUUUUAGUUGCUAACAGGUUAAGCUGAGGACUCUAGAGAGACUGCCGGUGCAAACCGUGAGGAAGGUGGGGAUGACGUCAAAUCAUCACGGCCCUUACGUCCUGGGCUACACACGUGCUACAAUGGUAUGGACAAUGAGCAGCCACCGGGCGACCAGGAGCGAAUCUAUAAACCAUAUCACAGUUCGGAUCGGAGUCUGCAACUCGACUCCGUGAAGUCGGAAUCGCUAGUAAUCGGAUAUCAGCCAUGAUCCGGUGAAUACGUUCCCGGGCCUUGUACACACCGCCCGUCAAGCCAUGGAAGUCGGGGUGCCUGAAGUUCGUUACCGCAAGGAGCGACCUAGGGUAAAACUGGUAACUAGGGCUAAGUCGUAACAAGGUAGCCGUACCGGAAGGUGCGGUCGGAACACCUCCUUU
rnacentral:rRNA from 1 species